AAUAGAUACCCUGGUAGUCCACGCCGUAAACGAUGAGUGCUAGGUGUUGGGGGUUUCAAUACCCUCAGUGCCGCAGCUAACGCAAUAAGCACUCCGCCUGGGGAGUACGCUCGCAAGAGUGAAACGUCAAAGGAAUUGACGGAGGCCCGCACAAGCGGUGGAGCAUGUGGUUUAAUUCGAAGCAACGCGAAGAACCUUACCAGGUCUUGACAUCCCGCUGACCGCCCUAGAGAUAGGGCUUCCCUUCGGGGCAGCGGUGACAGGUGGUGCAUGGUUGUCGUCAGCUCGUGUCGUGAGAUGUUGGGUUAAGUCCCGCAACGAGCGCAACCCUUAUUUCUAGUUGCCAGCAUUCAGUUGGGCACUCUAGAGAGACUGCCGUCGACAAGACGGAGGAAGCGGGGAUGACGUCAAAUCAUCAUGCCCCUUAUGACCUGGGCUACACACGUGCUACGAAUGGUUGGUACAACGGGAUGCUACCUCGCGAGAGGACGCCAAUCUCUGAAAACCAAUCUCAGUUCGG
rnacentral:rRNA from 1 species